AGACCCCAGGGCCCCUCCCCUCCCUCCCGCGCUCUCUCUGCUGCGUUCGCUCGGAUUUGCCCUGGGAUCCCAAAAUUCACAGUUUCCACCCCAAAUUCUGCAUCUUCCAUCCCCAAAUCUCAGAUUUUCCACCCCAAAUUCGGGAUUUUCCACCCCAAAUCUCAGAUUUUCCCUGGAAUUCCACCCCAAAUUCCAGAUUUUCCACCCCAAAUUCCAGAUUUUCCAUCCCAAAUUUCAGAUUUUUCCCUGGAAUUCCAUCCCAAAUUCAGGAUUUUCCACCCCAAAUCUCAGAUUUUUCCCUGGAAUUCCAUCCCAAGUUCCAGAUUUUCCAUCCCAAAUUUUGGAUUUUCCCUGCAAUUCCAUCCCAAACUCUCCGUUUUCCCUGAAAUUCCGUCCCCAAUUUUGGAUUUUCCACUCCAAACUCUGGAGUUCCCCUGGGAUCCACCCCAAGUUCGGGAUCUUCCACUCCAAAUUCUGGAUUUCCCCUGGAAUUCCACCCAAACUUUGGAUUUUCCCUGGAAUUCCCUCCCAAAUUCGGGAUUUUCCCUCCCAAAUUCUGAAUUUUCCCUGGAAUUCCAUCCCAAAUUCCAGACUUUCCCUCCCAAAUUCCAGACUUUCCCUCCCAAAUUCCAGAUUUUCCCUCCCAAAUUUUGGAUUUCCCCUGGAAUUCCACCCAAACUUUGGAUUUUCCCUCCCAAAUUUUGGAUUUUCCCUCCCAAAUUCCGGAUUUUCCCUGGAAUCCCACCCCAGAUUCCCUCCUUUCCCUGCAGUUUCCAUCCCAAGAGAGGGAAAAUGAGGAUUUUCCCCCCAUUUUGGUGUCAGUUUCCCUUUGGUGGAAUAAAAAUAGAGCUGGACNNNNNNNNNNNNNNNNNNNNNNNNNNNNNNNCUGCUGCCUGUGCUGCUGAAUUUGGAUUUUUGUUGUGGCUUUGGCCCUUUGGAGGAGAUACGCAUUUUUAUUUUCAUCGAAUCCAUUUGGUUUUUGCUGGAAUUUGGAAUUCCUCUGGGGUGCAGAGCAGGAUUUUUGGGGUCAAAAUCCAUUUUUGGGAUGGGAUUCCUCACCAAAAACUGGAAUUAUUUCCCAAAAAUCAAUCUACAAGUUUUUGGUUUUUUCCUCUUGACUUCCCACUCUAUUUCCAACUUUUAUUUUACCCAAAUAAAACCCUCAAAAAAAUCCAAAUAUUCUCCUUUUGGCUUCUUCCUACCCUAAUUAAAACAACAUUUUAA
rnacentral:lncRNA from 1 species